AUUGAACGCUGGCGGCAUGCUUUACACAUGCAAGUCGAACGGUAACAGGCCUUCGGGUGCUGACGAGUGGCGAACGGGUGAGUAAUGCAUCGGAACGUGCCCAAUCGUGGGGGAUAACGUAGCGAAAGUUACGCUAAUACCGCAUAAGCCCUGAGGGGGAAAUGGGGGACCGCAAGGCCUCACGCGAAUGGAGCGGCCGAUGUCAGAUUAGCUAGUUGGUGGGGUAAAGGCCCACCAAGGCGACGAUCCGUAGCUGGUCUGAGAGGAUGACCAGUCACACCGGAACUGAGACACGGUCCGGACUCCUACGGGAGGCAGCAGUGGGGAAUAUUGGACAAUGGGCGCAAGCCUGAUCCAGCCAUGCCGCGUGGGUGAAGAAGGCCUCGGUGUAAGCCUUAGGUGGGAGGAAGGCAGUCAUGCUAAUACCAUGGAUGA
rnacentral:rRNA from 1 species